UUGGAAACAUCAGUUUCCCCACUACUAGAUUCAUCGAGGCAAAUGCGAACUCUAGUGCUCAAUAUUUGAAAAUAAACGUUAGCCAGUCUUUCCUUGUAUGUCAUUGUGCGAAGUUGUUCGUUUGGCGUAGUUCGUAAUAAUCCACAGAUUAUUGGUUUCAAAUGGUUUUUUAAACCAAUAUGCAUUAACUGUGAGUGACUAUGUACCUGUUGAGUGGAAUGAAAUUAUCCUGCAACUGGAUAAUGCAAGAGCACUUAGCAACUGUACGAUUUCGAAUUACCUACGAUCGAAAAUUCUGGAACUAUGCCCCAUGGAUAUAGCCGUGUAAUCGUACUGUUGACUUUUAACCGCUAUGAUGGAUCAAGCAUCUUCAUUACGUAAAAAGAAAGAAAUAAGUUCAAGGAUGAGAAAAUUAUAGAGGUAUUUUUAGCAACUUUAUAUCCUGACACGCAUACUGUCGUUCAAGGAUCGAAUGAGUAAUUUUCGCAAUUACGAUCGAAUCUGCUUAACCCGCUUCUGUAAAGGGUUUAAACCGAAUUAAAGCCUCAAAUACCGCGUAACAAGCGCGUAAAUUAAUUAGAACGAUGUUCACCUCGUUACAAAGUAUUUCGACCAUUAGAGAUUAAAGUUUGAGUUAGAGAUCCGACCAAAAUUAAACGAAGUUAGGCCCGGGCCAGCUUGUGGACAUAGAUGUGACUAACUAGGAGCCACGCUUCCUGAAGGCAGCUAAACUCGAUUACAUGUCCACGAGACUUUCGUCCGGUCUCGUAAGGAUCGCAAAAGGCACCGCUGAGAUAAUCGAAUGGUCUGUCCUUUUGUAACUAUCCUACGGCGAUCCCUGCGGUCGGUCACAGGAUGACAUACUCUUAUGUCUAGCCACCAUGACAAAUAUCACGUCUGGGAACAAUUUAAACACAUUAACUUGGUCGGACCACGUUCGUAUAUUUUAUAUAUAUAUAUACAUAUAAAUGGAAGUAAGGUAAGGCAAAAAGAAACGAUAAAUUCGAGACAAUGAAUAAAUUGGAGAUUCGGUAACAAAGAUAUCCAUUAUUAUCUGGUAUCUUAUAAUGCAAAUGUUUCGAUUGUGUAUCAAUGUUUCGCAAUGUAAAUUUGCUUCCACUUUGGUAUGCUCUUAUUUCGUUCCUUCUUAUCGUUGAUCUGAAUUCAAGUAUAGAAUAAUAUUAUAUUAUAUAUAUUUUGUAAUUUCUGGUAUUAUUAUUUAA